rnacentral:rRNA from 1 species
ACUGGGCGUAAAGCGUGCGCAGGCGGUGAUGUAAGACAGAUGUGAAAUCCCCGGGCUCAACCUGGGAACUGCGUUUGUGACUGCAUCACUCGAGUACGGCAGAGGGAGGUGGAAUUCCACGUGUAGCAGUGAAAUGCGUAGAGAUGUGGAGGAACACCGAUGGCGAAGGCAGCCUCCUGGGCCAGUACUGACGCUCAUGCACGAAAGCGUGGGGAGCAAAACAGGAUUAGAUACCCUGGUAGUCCACGCCCUAAACGAUGUCAACUAGUUGUUCGGUGAGGAGACUCAUUGAGUAACGCAGCUAACGCGUGAAGUUGACCGCCUGGGGAGUACGGCCGCAAGGUUAAAACUCAAAGGAAUUGACGGGGACCCGCACAAGCGGUGGAUGAUGUGGAUUAAUUCGAUGC